UUACGUAGCAGUUAUUGUUCCUCAGCUACAAACCAAUGCGCAUCUAUUGACAACCCUACUCAUGCUGUGACUUUACGACACGCUUUACUGAUCGACGCCUGCAUAUGCUCUUCGUGUCAUUUCUAACACUGGCACAGAGAUUACAAUCGACGUGAUAAAACCAAAGGCGACAAGGAACAACUGGGACCGAUCGGCUUUUCGGGUUAUGCGACACGGGUGAUACUACAAUAGGCAAAAGUGGACCAACCAUUUUUCCUUCGAUAUAGUUCUGUACUGUUAUCAGUUGUUGAUAAACGCGAUGUUUUGGAUGACAACUAAUGGGAAAAGGCGCGCUGUUCAUAUGGAGCAGACUCAGGUUCAAAGAACGGUCAUUAACCGUCAGAAAGUUACUUUUCAACAGUUUGACACUCGUCAAACGUCCUAGGUUGAAGUUCAUGUGACGGAUACUCUUUGACUGUGUGCCUGUGUUAGUGGACAGAUGUUGAAGCGUCAUUUUAACGGAGCAGUGCAAAGUAAUCAAACCCAAGUUGCAGAUCUUUAAGCUCGUAGUAUGAACAGUGCUACAAGAUGGGUUAAGGAACGACUCCAUGUACAAUGCCCAUUUACGAAAAAAUUAAUGGUGAAUAGACUCGAUUGAGGUAGUUGUCGUAUGCGAAAAAACAGCUUGAAUUCAUUUGUAUUUCAAUGGGGGAAUACAUGAAGACGCAAAAAUAAGUAGAGAAACUGAAGCCUGCUCCCAGGUACAUCCCAAUGUUCAUACUUCACUCUGCUG